CCUCCCAUAGAAUUCACCUAUAGAUUGCAAAUCUCUCUCGCCAUGCUAAGAUUAUCUUUCUUACUACCAAUUCUUUCUAGGCUUCGUCAUUUCUUUCCUAACGUCUUCUGAUUCCACUUUGAGACAACCCAGCACUCUGGAAUCUUUGCUGCAACUUCUCCAAUGAACAGAUGUUCCUUUCCAUCCUCUUAACAAGAUGUCCACCCAAACAUAUCAGAACAAGUGGUUGCAGGCAAGCAAAGCAUGUGAUAGUGCCCCUGUGGUGUUCAGAUGGCUCAGAAGAUGUAUGUGGUUCAAGAUUGGACGGGGAGUGGCAGACCUCCACGUUGGCCAGUGAGGUGAGUGGCUGUGGCAGAGGGGAUGAUGGGUCCAAACCUUCUUCUCAGACUCUUCCAUGAGGUGAUGGAAGUCUUGAAUAGGAAAGCAAGGAAUCAAGAUCUCAGAGGCUAAGCUCUGCACCUUACUUACAGGGAUCUUAACCUGUUGUCCUGAUAUUUCCCAAAUAGGAGCAUUUACUAAACAAGAAU
rnacentral:lncRNA from 1 species